UGUCGCGGUGUGUGUGUGUGUGUGACGCAGGCCGGGGUGUGUGUGUUGGGUUGUGUGUGUGUGUGACGCAGGCCGGUGUGUGUGUGUCGGGGUGUGUAUGUGUGUCUGUGACGCAGGCCGGGGUGUGUGUGUCGAGUUGUGUGUGUGUGUCGGGGUGUGUGUGUGUGUGACGCAGGCCGGGGUGUGUGUGUCGGGUUGUGUGUGUGUGUGUGUGUGUGUGUGACGCAGGCCGGGGUGUGUGUGUCGGGUUGUGUGUGUGUGUGUCGGGCUGUGUGUGUGUGUGUGACGCAGGCCGGGGUGUGUGUGUCGGGUUGUGUGUGUGUGUGUGUGUGUGUGACGCAGGCCGGGGUGUGUGUGUCGGGUUGUGUGUGUCGGGGUGUGUGUUUGUGUGUGUGACGUAGGCCGGGGUGUGUGUGUCAGGUUGUGUGUGUCGGGGUGUGUGUGUGUGUGUGACGCAGGCCGGGGUGUGUGUGUCGGGUUGUGUGUGUGUGUGUGCUUGGGUGUGUGUGU